UACGUAGGGUGCGAGCGUUGUCCGGAAUCAUUGGGCGUAAAGGGCGCGUAGGUGGCCCGGUCAGUUCGUGGUGAAAGCGCGGGGCUCAACCCUGCGUCGGCCAUGAAUACUGCCGCGGCUGGAGCACUGUAGAGGCAGGCGGAAUUCCGGGUGUAGCGGUGGAAUGCGUAGAGAUCCGGAAGAACACCGGUGGCGAAGGCGGCCUGCUGGGCAGUUGCUGACACUGAGGCGCGACAGCGUGGGGAGCAAACAGG
rnacentral:rRNA from 1 species